UACGUAGGGUGCGAGCGUUGUCCGGAAUUAUUGGGCGUAAAGGGCUCGUAGGCGGCCAACUAAGUCAGACGUGAAAUCCCUCGGCUUAACCGGGGAACUGCGUCUGAUACUGGAUGGCUUGAGAUUGGGAGAGGGAUGCGGAAUUCCAGGUGUAGCGGUGAAAUGCGUAGAUAUCUGGAGGAACACCGGUGGCGAAGGCGGCAUCCUGGACCAACACUGACGCUGAGGAGCGAAAGCCAGGGGAGCAAACGGG
rnacentral:rRNA from 1 species